AUGAACUGUUUGACAGAAGACAAAGAAAACACUCGCGUCUGGAGAUAGUGACACACAUACGCAAGUAAAUAAGGAUUGUACUGUUUGCAAUCGUGUAUUUUAUAAGAAUACCAAAAAGCGCGUUGAGUUUCCUGACUCGUGUGUUUGUGUAUGUGUGGAACCAUCGGGUGAAACGUUUGACGGAAGAAAUGUAAGCUUCAGCGCAAGUUCUACCGGGAAAACUCUAAUGCUACGUCAUCCAUUUCACAAGAUCUGGCCAAUCACCUCUGAUACUGGGAGUAUUUAAAUCCUUUGCUCACCUGUCUCUGCGUUCACAGACACCGACGUCAGGAUUCACACGCGCGAUUUCCAGUGCAUACAUGGCACCAACGGCCUUGAUUACCCGUAACACGCCGAUUUAAAUGUCGAGUGAUUCUAUCGGGCAUUUGAACUGUUUUCCUAGGAUCCUUUCAUCCAGCAACAUCUGGCUGCUCUUUCUCAUCCACUACUCAUCCUUUCCGAAGUCACGGUAACGUUACACGUUUCGUUUCACCAGCAUCAUCAUCGUGAGGAGCUCUCAUAGAAAGCCACAGACUUUAAAUAGGGAAGUCUGCAAGUUUCCUUAAAAGUGCGUAAUGCUGCACAGGGAAGGAAACGAUAUGCUGUUUCUUUUAUGAACAGUGCAAGUACAUUUGGUUGAUUCGUAAAGUGUAAAAAUAACAUUAUAAACUGUCGCACACUCUGAACGCCCGCAGCAGAUGUCACUAAUCAUCACUGAUUGGCAAUACGCUGCACCUGCACGCUGGCAGUGCCGCAGCGGGUUUCGGAGAAUGCCGAAGGUUGACAUCUCCCUAAUCACAGGAUCUUUGUCCUACAUCUACUAUACGAAAUGCUCCACUUAUUAUUGGUUCCGAACAGUUAGCGGGUAUCUUAGAAAGCAAAGACAUCGAUCGACUCGGAUGAUCGGCUGUUGCUCGCGAAAAUUGGUGUUUCCUUUUCAGUAUUUCCCUUAAAUCAACUAAUUUAAGGUACGAUGUAUUUACUUGCUACUCUAUAACAAUGCAUGUUGCAUAAUGCCUAACAGUUAUUCAUGCCAAACUGUUCCGAUCAACGGCAAACAUUAACCAUAGAUAUUCACCCACCUGACCCUAAUUACAGACUUUAAUAAGGAUACGGGAAUACGCUAUUUUACGUAUUUUAAAUCUUACGUCAUAUAGCGUAGCUCACAUAUUUGUUGCUAAGUGUGUGUGGUCGAAUGGCAACAGUAAUGCAUAUUGUCAAUUUUAUUGAGCACGGGGUACAGCAUUUAUGUUUUAUCUAAAGCUUUGUGCUUUAAGAUCUUCAGUUAUUAAAGUAGGUAUGAUGACACAAUUUUCAAAAAACCCAGCUCAAAAUCUAUCACUGAGCAGACAUUCCCAUUUACAAAGAUACCAGGAUUGUAAAAAUCCAUUGAGGAUUGAGAAAGUUAUGAUAUUUUUCAUAUUAGAAAUCAGAGGAAAAAGUUAUAUAUGGAUGUAUAUGGAAUGUGUGUGACCAAAAUGCUGCUUAUUCACAUGUUUUUGCUUAUAACUUCCUCAUUCUCAGAUAUUUCAAUGAAAUUUCAUGCAUAAAGUAUGUGACCGCUUCACCUUAUAACUGUACUUCUCAAAUGAGACUUUAUUCCAGAUUUCGGUCAACUUCUCAUCGAAGCUCGGUUGCGUUGAACAUCCUAUCUUUAUUUAUCUGGAUUACCGUCUCCUAAGGUAAGCUCUGUUUUUCAUUAUACUGGAUUGGCUGAUUGUAUACUUUUACAACCGAAAGUCGGCAAGGACUAUGUUACAGAGUGACAUGGAGACGGAGAUGUGGUUGCAUCAGUUUAAACCAUUUAUAAGCACACUGUGCGUUGCUUGCGACGCAGGAACCCAGUGCAAGUGCAUGGGUAGGCUACAGCGGAUGUCUGGAUACUGUAGAAAAUGUAAUGUGACUGUUAGCUUUAAAAUUCAAAGCACAUAAUUCCAAUUUAAAGUGCUGUUGAACGUUGGCAACAGAUGGGUCGCCAAAAUGGCGGUGCACCAGCUAUAACUACAGAUUAUAAACACAAUUCAUUCUUGUUUUAACAUGGAAUCCAAAGGAAAUAAUGUCUGUUUUAUACUUGUUCGAGUGGUGUGUUCGUAUCUAUCGUUGUUCGAUUAUCUAUGUGUAUUAACUAUUUAAUUUUAAUCAUCAUAGGCUGCUUUAAUGAAUUCCAACAUGACAGGACAAAUGGAAUGCGUCUGAAAUAACACGUCAUAAGUUUUAUUUACUUUAAAACGAAUUUCGUUUCAUAACUUGUUCCUAAUUUCAUUCUAUGUUUUGUUUUAAGCCCGGAAUACACCACAGGAUUUUUGCACUUCUACAAGAUGCAGCAGCAAACACGCUGUGCGGUGAUCAUGCUGAAUUUCUGGAAACUAUUGGAAGCUAUCUUGGACACAAGACUGGGAAGACGUCCGUCUUUGAGCCUCUCCCAUUGUACGACACUGUACCACUGACAAAGAGCACAAUCACAGAAAUCAUGCAGUUAAUCCCGGGCUUAAGGUUAUGAAUCCUAGAUAACUUUACAAGGAACUUUGUCUGGAAUAAGAUGAGUACAAUCCACUUACUCUGCAUCUUCAAGAAAAUAGCAAAACGUGUAUCACCUUUCCAUAUGACUAUAAUACACUGCCUGCAAGGAUUUAAACCGUAUAACAGUGCGGCCGCAUACAUGAGGCAAGCUAUUUUAAAACGAUAUACAUGUUUUUAGCAUUGACUCUAAUGGACACGCAGUUCUAUAAGUGCUUCAUUUCCAGAUGCCUGUAUUACCGUCAGGACUCUUUAUCGACAUCCAGGGACUCGAAUUGCAAUAUAAACUGCUGCAAGGAUCUGAACAUGCAUAAUUGCUAAAUGCAUAAGGAGUAAGCUUUUGGUAGUGUUGUGCCAUGCGUACAUGCCGCGUGCACGUGGGUUGUCACAAUUCAUGUCUGCGGUCAUGAAUGGUGCGGACUUCGAUCAUUUCUGGAAUACCAGUGUGGAGGAGGAUCAUCAUUAAGUCUAUCUCGAAGGUAUAUCCAUCUAUCAUCUGUACAACCCCACUGAUAGCACUUAUCAGUUUUUUGGGGGGUCUUAAUUUACAUCGUAAACAAGAUUUUUAUAACCAUCUGUGCGCCAUGGCGAAGCAGGUAAGAUAAGGCAACGGAUCCAAAUGCAAUGGUUUAUUUCUUAAAACCCAAAAGUGCACAAAGCAGAACAGGAACGAAGACCAGAAUACAGGACUCCAAAUGCAUGACAGCAAAUAAUACUCGACAAAGGACAACUGAAACACAAGGACUGUACAUAUUCAUGGGGGUAAACAUCAUAUCUAGAUAUACCUGGGAAACUAUCUUCAACAGGACCAAUGAACUACAAGUCUACAGACAUGGACGACAUGACAGAACUUCAAAUAAGAGUACAAGACCGGGGAAGCACAAGAUGUGACGCAGACGCCGUGCAAUCUUUUAUUGUCAUCAGUCAGAUUUGUUUGUUCCAUCUAAUCUUUUUUCUACUUUAUAAUGAGAAUACAAAAGCAUGCAUAAAUCAAUCUUCUCUCUUCAUCAGGAGCAGCACUCCCAAUUUCACAGUAUGCAGGAUAAUACAAUGCAUUUCAAUUAAAUAAUGGCAAGCCAUAAUCAAGGAACUUCCAAGAAACAUUCCAACUGAUGGGUGUCCAUCAAAUCUUUGGGGAUAGGCUCCGCCCCUGCCUUCAUCUUCAGGCAGGAAAUGCAUGAAUCCAUGAUCCCUGGAUUCAAACUACGGACGGAGUCUACGCCAAAGAACUAUAUAAUUCCACCCUUAAGCAUUGCUGUUUAUCACUGUUAAAUAAAUUCAAAUUAACUGUUAAUCUGUCUCUGGAGUUUUUCUGGUAGAAAUGUAAGCUUCAGCGCAAGUUCUACCGGGAAAACUCUAAUGCUACGUCAUCCAUUUCACAAGAUCUGGCCAAUCACCUCUGAUACUGGGAGUAUUUAAAUCCUUUGCUCACCUGUCUCUGCGUUCACAGACACCGACGUCAGGAUUCACAACCCACCCUCCCUCCCUACCACCACCAUCAGGUUGGCUCCGUCCAUAGACCGGGGGAUAGGCUCCGCCCCUGCCUUCAUCUUCAGGCAGGAAAUGCAUGAAUCCAUGAUCCCUGGAUUCAAACUACGGACGGAGUCUACGCCAAAGAACUAUAUAAUUCCACCCUUAAGCAUUGCUGUUUAUCACUGUUAAAUAAAUUCAAAUUAACUGUUAA